rnacentral:rRNA from 1 species
UACGUAGGCAGCAAGCGUUGUUCGGAGUUACUGGGCGUAAAGGGUGCGUAGGCGGCUCUAUAAGUUUGGUGUGAAAUCUCCCGGCUCAACCGGGAGGGUGCGCCGAAAACUGGGGGACUCGAGUGCGGGAUGGGAGAGUAGAAUUCCUGGUGUAGCGGUGAAAUGCGUAGAUAUCAGGAGGAAUACCGGUGGUGUAGACGGCUCUCUGGACCGCCACUGACGCUGAGACACGAAAGCGUGGGUAGCAAACAGG